GCUUAACACAUGCAAGUCGAGCGGUAAGGCCCUUCGGGGUACACGAGCGGCGAACGGGUGAGUAACACGUGGGUGAUCUGCCUUGCACUUCGGGAUAAGCCUGGGAAACUGGGUCUAAUACCGGAUAUGACCCCGAAUCGCAUGUUUUGGGGUGGAAAGAUUUAUCGGUGCGAGAUGGGCCCGCGGCCUAUCAGCUUGUUGGUGAGGUAACGGCUCACCAAGGCGACGACGGGUAGCCGACCUGAGAGGGUGACCGGCCACACUGGGACUGAGACACGGCCCAGACUCCUACGGGAGGCAGCAGUGGGGAAUAUUGCACAAUGGGCGCAAGCCUGAUGCAGCGACGCCGCGUGCGGGAUGACGGCCUUCGGGUUGUAAACCGCUUUUGACAGGGACGAAGCGCAAGUGACUGUACCUGUAGAAUAAGGACCGGCCAACUACGUGCCAGCAGCCGCGGUAAUACGUAGGGUCCGAGCGUUGUCCGGAAUUACUGGGCGUAAAGAGCUUGUAGGCGGUUCGUCGCGUCGUUUGUGAAAACUUGGGGCUCAACCUUAAGCUUGCAGGCGAUACGGGCGGACUAGAGUACUUCAGGGGAGACUGGAAUUC
rnacentral:rRNA from 1 species